rnacentral:rRNA from 1 species
GAUGAACGCUGGCGGCGUGCUUAACACAUGCAAGUCGAGCGAGAAGUUUUGAACAGAUUCUUCGGAUGAAAUUUAAAAUGGAAAGCGGCGGACGGGUGAGUAACGCGUAGGCAACCUGCCCCAUACAAAGGGAUAGCAUUUGGAAACGAAUAUUAAUACCUUAUGAAACUUAACUAGUGCAUGCUAGGUAGGUCAAAGAUUUAUCGGUAUGGGAUGGGCCUGCGUCUGAUUAGCUAGUUGGUGAGGUAACGGCUCACCAAGGCGACGAUCAGUAGCCGACCUGAGAGGGUGAACGGCCACAUUGGAACUGAGACACGGUCCAAACUCCUACGGGAGGCAGCAGUGGGGAAUAUUGCACAAUGGGGGAAACCCUGAUGCAGCAACGCCGCGUGAACGAUGAAGGCCUUUGGGUCGUAAAGUUCUGUUCUAGGUGAUGAAAACUGGCAGUAACCUAGGAGAAAGCCCCGGCUAACUCCGUG